rnacentral:rRNA from 1 species
AGCGAACGCUGGCGGUAGGCCUAACACAUGCAAGUCGAACGGCAGCUCAGUGUGUGCUUGCGCUUGCGGGUGGAGAGUGGCGGAAGGGUGCGGUAUACACCGGAAUGUCCUUUUUCGCGGGGGGUAACGUCGGGUGAGUUACGCUAAUACCGCAUUCGACCUCAGGGUGAAAGCAGGGGAUCUUCGGGGCUGGCGCGAUUGAAUGAGCCGAUGUAGGCUUAGCUAGUUGGCGGGGUAGAGGGCCACCAAGGCGACGCUCGGUAGCUGGUCCGAGAGGAUGAUCAGCCACACUGGAACUGAGACACGGUCCAGACUCCUACGGUAGGCAGCAGUGGGGAAUAUUAGACGAUGGGCGCAAGCCUAAUCCAGCCAUACCGCGUGGGUGAAGAAGGCCUUCGGGUUGGAGAGCCCUUUUGUUGGGAAAGAAAAGCAGCAGGUUAAGACCCCGCGGUUCUGACGGUACCCGAAGAAGAAGCACCGGCUAACUUCGUG